rnacentral:rRNA from 1 species
CCUACGGGGUGCUGCAGUGGGGAAUAUUGGACAAUGGGCGAAAGCCUGAUCCAGCCAUGCCGCGUGUGUGAAGAAGGCCUUCGGGUUGUAAAGCACUUUCAGUGGGGAAGAAAGCCUUGGGGCUAAUACCCUCGAGGAAGGACAUCACCCACAGAAGAAGCACCGGCUAACUCCGUGCCAGCAGCCGCGGUAAUACGGAGGGUGCGGGCGUUAAUCGGAAUUACUGGGCGUAAAGCGCGCGUAGGCGGUCUGAUAAGCCGGUUGUGAAAGCCCCGGGCUCAACCUGGGAACGGCAUCCGGAACUGUCAGGCUAGAGUGCAGGAGAGGAAGGUAGAAUUCCCGGUGUAGCGGUGAAAUGCGUAGAGAUCGGGAGGAAUACCAGUGGCGAAGGCGGCCUUCUGGACUGACACUGACGCUGAGGUGCGAAAGCGUGGGUAGCAAACAGGAUUAGAUACCCUGUAGUC